rnacentral:lncRNA from 1 species
CAAAGUGGAAAAGCAGAUGGGACAAUCCCACAGAAAGCUAAUAUCUACCUUUCCAAUAUAUAUGAAAGCUGAGGAGGGAUGUCUGCUCAGUGACGAGUGUCUUGAAUGUAUCAUACAGUCAUCUCAACCCUGUCCCAACCCCAGUGAUGGAUGGGGGCUGGUAAGAAGGUAUGGACUCCCUACCCCAUGCUCCUCAUGCACUGCCAGGCAUCCAAACAACUGCGGAAGAGGCCCUCUAGGCUCCUGCUUCAAUGGCUUCUGUUCAUUUGAGAUCUGACAGAUGGACCCUCAUCAGUAGUCUCCUCAAAACAUGGUCAAAUUGACACAUAUGCAGGAGAGAGAACAGUGGUGAGCAAGCUUAAAGCACUGAGAAAUCAAGGACAAGAAGAACAGUCUGUGUCUCACAUGUGCAUUUUUAACACAGAGAUGCUUCCUCUGUCAAGCAGGUCUACACGUGUUCUUCUGGAAUCUCUUAGGAGCGCUUUGAAAGGAAAGCUAUUCCAUGCUUUAACUCUCAGUUGUUGAGUUGUAUCUUCAAAAUUUACAAUUGACUUGUUG